CUUGUGGACUAUCAUAUAAACUGCAGUAGCGAGCAUUACGCGAGACAGGAUAGGAUGAAGCAAGAA
rnacentral:sRNA from 1 species